UUAAUUUUAGUGUAGUGGUUUGAACAUUAGACUGUGACUCUGGAGACCAGGGUUCGAAUCUUUGCUGAGCUUUGG